rnacentral:lncRNA from 1 species
AACAUCAAUUUUAAAGAAAUUUUAGUUUGUUUAAUUUUAUUUUUAAUCUCUCUAAUCUUUUUAGGGUAUAAAUGUUAAUCCUGAGAUUACUGCACUACAGACUAUGCUUGCUGAAUGCCAAGAAAAGCUUAAGGAACUGACUUUGAUAGAGAAAAGGUUAGACUGUUUGGAACAAAAAAUGAAAGGAAAUGUGAUGGUAGAUGAAAACACCUGGACUAAUCUGCUUAGUCGUGUCACUCUUCUUGAAACGGAAAUGCUUUUGUCUAAAAAGAAUGACGAAUAUGUAGAGUUUAAUGAAAUUAAUGAAGACUACGCUUCUUGUAGCAACAUGGACCUUCUGAAUCCUCACAGAAAAAACAAAGUAGAGAGGCCAGCAAGUAUUCCUCUGUCCUCUGGCUAUAGUACAGCAUCAUCAGAUUCGACUCCCAGAGCCUCUACCAUUAAUUACUGUGGUUUGAAUGAGAUUUCAGAGGAAACAACAAUCCAGAAAAUGGAAAGGAUGAAAAAAAUGUUUGAAGAAACUGCAGAGUUACUGAAAUGUCCAAAUCACUACUUGUAGGAUUUUCUACAUGAACUUUUCUAGGACUUCGGUUACUAUACAUAUUGUAUAUUUUAAGAAUUCUUUAUACAAUUUUAAUAUACUACAAUUUUUGACAAUUAGGAUUCCAUUUGGUAUAUGAAUUUUUGCAUUCAUUAUUGAAUAAAUCUUUUAAUAUUUUUGAGCAAUGAUUAUACUGCUUUACCUUGUGUCCCUUUUUUUUUUUUUUUUUUUGAGGAAAAACUCAUGUUCCAGUCUAUUUCUCUUACAGAGUGAAGUCAUUACAGCACUGUAUUUCUGUGUUGACAUUUGUUGGCAGUGUGCUAAGUAAUGUUUUUUAAAGCACAGGCUUGAGGACUAUGGUUUACAUCCUGUUGGAAACAUUCCAAAUGGGACUUGUGUAUUAUACCCAGGAGGCUUUCAUAUAUGCCAUCUUCGCAUCUGUACUGAUGAAUAAGUUAUAAUAAACAGUUAAAAAUACUCACUGAAAAUUAAAUAUAAAGACAGCUAUUUCAUGCUUGGUCAAAAACAGC